CCUGAAAUGAAAUCCUAAAAGUCUUCAAUUCUGUUUUGAUGAAAAAAGAAACUCCGAUACAUCUUGGAUGGAGUUCAUCACGAGCGGUUCUGAAACAACCGCGUUGUUCCCACUGUCGCCCCAUUCACGUCGGAGACGCGCGGCAACUCACAGGGGUAGUAUUCUGAGGACUUCACGAAGUAACAGAUUACACGCUGUAUCCCCGGUAGCAGGAAAUAGUGCAAGAGACUAUUUUGGUGGAAAAAGUCGUGAGAGGUUAUCAGGAAACCGGAGAAAUUAUCAACUCCCGUCACAGUAACCCCAUUCAGUGUUAAACGAAUCUGCACACUACAAGGCUGUUGAGUGAUGAGAAUAACGCAUCGAACUGGGACGAAGCAUUUGAGUGCCUGGGACGCCAGUAGUUUCAGCGAGGUGACUGUACCAAACAACACUGAUAAUGCAGUCUCAUCACCUGCUGGAGCUGUGGUUUCAGAUAAUGUUAUGGAUGACGAGGAGCAGUUGCUAACCGAUGCGGGGGUGUGGUUUCAGAGCGUAAUACAGACUUGGUUGUUGCGGAUGGUGAUACGAAUCAUCAGGCCAGUGUGGAAGAGUCUGUGUUGAUUGCUGAUCAAACUCUGCCAUCAAAUCAACAAAACUUUUCCCAUGACUUGUUAAUAGUUACGUGAACAGAAUCACAGGACGGACGAGAGGGUGAAUGUCAUUUCAGAAAAUGUCAAAAGACUUUGUGGAUGUUUCAACAUGAUGAUGAGACUCAGUAGAACAAGGAAGCCUUAUUUGAAUUCUCCUCGAUCGGGUUGGGGCCAAAUAAGAAAUUUGACAGUGUGCUCCAGGAUGCCUACAGAGAAUGUCAACUCAUGAUUCAGUGCAGCACAUGAGAACGAUGGUACCACUCCUCCUGUGUCAACAUGAAGAAACAAGACAUCAUCAAAUUUAAGAGAAUAAAGUGGGUGUGUGUGAUCUGUGUUAAAAAAACUUCAGCACAUUUAAAGAUUGUAUAGACAUAUAGAAAUAAAAUGUUCUUUUCUGUACAAGAUUCUAUACUUUUGCAAUUCAUUUGAAAUGCAGACAAUACACAAGCUGUCAUUUAUGGUUUAGCCAUGCAAGACAAUAACACAAUCUGAAAUAUAUGAAGAUAUAUAACCCUUGUGUGGUCUUAAAAUUUUGAGUAUUCACCCAGUGUUUGAUGGACACACAACAUUAUUGGGUUUUUAAACCCUUGAGUGGUGUUCAUUUUUAUGUUAUUCGGUCUGAUGGAGCCACAACAUUUUUGUGUUUUUAACCCAAAGUAUGCAUGUAAAUGAGUUUGGUCCAUCUCCUUCCAUCUCUCUCCAAAAACACGACUUCUCUCAGAUUUGGUGCAGUCCAGAAGAUUUUCUAUAUGGUGUUUGGGAUGAGAACUUCAAAAGAAGACUUUGUCCUGCACACAAGUAACGGCCAUCCGCAUCGGCCCUGGUUGCAUCCUUAUAACAUUGUCGGCCAUGCGGGGUGGCUCAUUCCUUGGGCCAGAAGACCAUUCAAUUUCACCAAUUUUUGACA